rnacentral:tRNA from 1 species
GCUGUCGUAGCUUAGCGGUAAAGCACCGCCUUGGUAAGGCGGAGACCAUGGGUUCGAUCCCCAUCGACAGCU